GAUGAACGCUAGCGGCAGGCCUAAUACAUGCAAGUCGAACGGUGUCUUCGGACAUAGUGGCGCACGGGUGCGUAACGCGUACGCAACCUACCUUACAUUGGGGGAUAGCCUUUCGAAAGGGAGAUUAAUACCGCAUAAGACAGUAGCUGGGCAUCCAGCAGCUGUUAAAGAUUUAUCGAUGUAAGCUGGGCAUGCGUCCAAUUAGCUAGUUGGUGAGGUAACGGCUCACCAAGGCAAUGAUUGGUAGGGGAACUGAGAGGUCAAUCCCCCACACUGGCACUGAGAUACGGGCCAGACUCCUACGGGAGGCAGCAGUAGGGAAUAUUGGGCAAUGGACGCAAGUCUGACCCAGCCAUGCCGCGUGCAGGAUGAAGGCGUUAUGCGUUGUAAACUGCUUUUAUACAGGAAGAAACGACUCUUGCGAGAGGCAUUGACGGUACUGUAUGAAUAAGCACCGGCUAACUCCGUGCCAGCCGCCGCAGUAAAAC
rnacentral:rRNA from 1 species